UGACAGAGCUGACUGUCGUUGUGCUGCUGUGUGUUGCUGAACUCACUCAGUGCUUUCCGGUCACAGCAAGUCAAGGUGGACACCGAUCUGUGCAGCUGUUUUUCUGCAAGGAUCCAGGGUGUGCUGCUCGUGUGAGAUACAUAUUUUGUAACAACAUGAAGCUGAACUUCAAUCGCACUCACAUCACAGAGUGUUCAGGCCCUCCACCACCCAAUAAUGUCUGCCAGCAUGACGGUCGGGCCUUCGUUUCCAAAGAUACAGCUGGUUCCUGUGAGUUUGAAGAUAGCGUGGAUUAUAUGGACACUGAAAAAUGUACAGACCAAAACAACAUUUGUGUGUUUAUCAGUGCUACCACACCAUCACCAGUCACCACAGAGGGUAAAUCAAAGGACCAUGCAAAACCUGGACACAUUGUCAGGGGAGUUGUUG